rnacentral:lncRNA from 1 species
UCACAAGGUAAUUGUGUUGGGGGAGAGGUGGAAAGUUUGGUAUCCUGAACAAAAUCAUUGAUUCUUUCAGCAUCGGAACUGGAUGGGCCCUGGAAGUGGUUGAAGGAAACUGAAAUUGCAGGCUCAGCUCUCCCUUCCCAGUCCAGACCAGCAAGGCCUUGGGGUUCUUUCCACCUUUGGCAAUUAAACUGGUACGACUGUAAACACUGCUGUUGAAAUAGUCAGUGAAAGCAGAGCUCUAUAAUCAAGGUGCAUCAAAGAGAGUCUCAGAUCCUCUAAGAAGAAUGUCUCAAAGCUAAAGGGGAAAAUAAUAUAAGGUCCUUCUUUUUUUUAAUUGCUGUACCCACACAGCAUAUGGAAGUUCUCAGGCCAGGGACUGACCUACUGUGA